AUGUACACUUUAAGUACAGGCUGUGAGCAUGCAUGGCAUGCCCCUGCCAUCCCCAGACACCAACAAGCUGCUAAGCCAAUGAAUCUGGAAUAUGAAAUGCAGAGGUCACAAACUGAACCUGCAGAUUCCUUUUUGUGCACUGCUCCUCUGGUUGGUGUGGCUACUGCAGGAUGGCUAUCUGCUCCAGUUGUCUCUAUUGCUUUGAAAGCCUCUCAGCCCUGCAGAUACACCUGGCGUAUGGCCGGACAUUCCAUGCAGCGGCAAACAAUGAGUCGUCUAAAGUUCAUGAACAAUAAAGUGUGAAAUGACCUCUCCCACUGGCCCUAAAACAACGUGACCGAUCUAGAGCUGCUUACAGGAUAAUAGGCCUAGAGAAAGUCUAUGUUCUUGUGGUUAAGUGUGUGUAAGAUGAAAAUCUACUUAAACUGAGAGUUUAUUUUAUUGUUGUUAAUGUGUUUGUUGUUUUAAUGUACAUACCACCACUCCCACUCUGAUAGAACAUAUCUGAAACAAUUAUUUCAACAGUAACAGUGUAAGGCGCUUGAUAAGGAAUACUUUUGGCUGUGCGUUAUAGUUAACACAACAGGAAUUUACCACUUUUUGAGGCGUUUCUAAAGGCAAUCAGUUUAGGUAUCAUCUUCAAAUUAAUUUUGAUGGUUUAUGUUAGGGACAGAUAAAGCACCUGUCAUUCGGCACAAGCCCCCCACACUAUGCAGUAUGUUGUUCUGUGGUCCGGAUCAGGCACCUGCAAAAAUGUUUAAAAAAUCUUUCACUGC
rnacentral:lncRNA from 1 species